rnacentral:lncRNA from 1 species
UCACAUUUUCUUCUUUCAUGUUCUGAAAUCUUCCAUUUUCUUACAUUUAACUCCGAACCAGAAUUUUUUCAUGACGGAACCACCGUGCCGGAACUCUUCUUCCGCCGUCAUCUUCUUCUCCUUCUGAUGUGAGUCUCCUAUUAAUUUUCUUUGUUCAAUUCAUGCUUCAAAACUAUAAAUUUUUGUUGAAAAUUUUAUAGUGUAAUUGUUAAAUCUGAAAAUUUGUUGUGUUGUUUGAAAUUAUCACCUUACUCAGUUUGUGUUACAAAAUCAAGAGACCAUUUGAAAAUUCUCCACUUCUGUUUUCUAUUUUUAAUCUAUGAAUCACAGAUACCGGAUAUGACACGGACACUUACAUGUCGAUGCCAAUAAUAUUUUAAGAAAAUGACAUAAUUUGACGUAAUUAUAUGUGCAGGUGUAGGACACCUGCGUGUGUUCGACACACCUAAUCCAAGGAGAGUCCAUGUUUCGUGGUUUGAGAUGUAUUUAAUUUUUCCAAGCUAUUCAUUUUGAUUUUGAUUUGGUCUCAAUUCUGACUUUGGGAUAGAUUGAGUAAACUUUAAUCUAUAUAAAUUUAAGAUAAUUACACAUGAAAGACAAGUGGGCAACAAGCUCCGCUAAUGUUGUGAUUAAUUUUUGGUUAAAUCUGAAACUUAGCUCAAUUUUGUUAAAUAUUGGUUAAAUAAUGUGAUUAAUUUCUGGUUUGGGUAUAUAUGUUUGCUGUUGUUGGAUUGUUAUGUCAUGUUUUGGACUGCUGAUCAUCCUCCCGUGCUGUUAGUCGGGAGCUUCACUACCUUAGGGAAGCUUUUUCGCGGUAGUUAGUCCUGCGCGGUUGUAAAGUGUGUUCUUGCAAACACCGUUUUAGGUUAACACUUGAUCAAAAAUGCUCUGAAGUCAAGUCUUAGAGGUAUAGUGAAUAUGUAAAAAGUGGUGAUCUGACCUAAUGGCACUAGGGUCCUAUAUAUAGGCCUUCAUCUAACGGAUAUGGCUAUCAUUUUGCCUAAAGGGUGAGGAGCGGUUAGCACCGCUCCGUCCCUUCGAUGUGUUCCCAUGUGUCCUAUUGUUUCGGACCUAUCCGCUUCUACACGACUUCAUCCAUCCUUAUCUAGGUUAUUUUACCCAUAGGAAAAGCAUGAGCUAGUCUUUUGGGCGUAUUGGGCUUCCUGUUAUAGAGGCGGGUCCAGCCCAACCAAAUUUCUGGGUCUCGCCCAGUCCAAAGUGAAAUCAGUAAAUUUAAGGUGGGGAAGAUAUGUAUUAGGUGUAGAAUUGGGAUAAUUUUUAGUUUUUUCUUAAACAGCGAAUGUCAAUAUUGUUAAUAAUUGUUGGCAUUAUUAUGCUGGGAACGGGGAUCAAACCCUCAACCUCCUUAGCACUCCACUUCUUAACUCCCCCACCUCAGUCACCAAACCAAUCUUAUUCUUAUAUCCAUUGGAUAAAUUGUUUGAUAAUUUGUAUGGCUAUAGGGAUUAUUUGACAUUAAAGCAUGACUUUUAUAUUUUCUUGCAAUUUAAUUUAUGCUAUUAUGAUAUGCUACUGUUUAUUUGCAAUUGUACAUUUGUAAAUAAACAGUAGCAUAUCAAAAUAAGAUGCAGUUUUUGUGGUCAUUCUAUUAAUCUCAAUCUCGAUAAGAAAGAGCUUUCUCCUGUAAUCAACGUUGGUAAUGUGAUUGUGAAGUGUAUUUAUUAAUAUGCUCUAUGCUCUAAGUAUAGCCCUUAAAUCCGAGUUGUCUAAUCCUACGUUUUUUCUGCAGUGUGAUGGCAUUAAACAAUAGCCCAACUAAGCUUCAUUUUCGAGCUUCUGUAUUUUCACGGUGGGAGUGCCUUGGAACACGAGAAAUAAUUGGUACAUGCUAAACCAAACAUACAUUAAGUAGUUAAGAACUUUUGUGUUAUAUGCAUCUGUUUUCGGACUUUGAUCCAAAAGUGUUGGAAUUAGAUUUCUAAAAUUGGUAUCAAUUAUAUUCUCAUGUUGGAUCCAAGAAAUUGUGAACUAAUGGUUAUUCCUUUAUAUAUUCUAAAUUGGUUUGUGAAUUGAGUGUUAGAUAAUACACAUUAGCAAGUCCUUUUGAUAGAAAUGAUGACUAGGUUGCUUAACCUUGGUGAUUUGAUACUAUUUGUGUAGUCUUUUGUUGAUUUACAUUUGUUUAUUUGUAUCCAUGUUUUCUUUUCUUUAUGCUAUCUUUUCUUUAUAAUAAUAAUGAAUGGAAAUAUAACCAUGUUUGGUCUUACAACUCUGUCAGGUUCAACCUUCUACAAUACAUGAAUUUAUUUUGCUUCCUUUCAAUUAAGAACAAAUGAACUACUGAUCAUUUGAUGACAGUAGCCAUUUAACCUACCUGUUAUUCAUACUCUAGAGUUUGCAACAAUAUAGCACCCUUGAAUUUCUUAGAUACCAUAGUGUUCGGUUUUAAGUGUGGCUGGUUAAGUGUGACAACGACUAUAAUGAGUAGAAUGUUGAAUGUAUAAGAUAAGUGAUAUCCAUUAAUCUAAUGUAUUAAGGUUUUGAGUAAAGAUGUGGUGUCUCUCUCGUGGUCUUGGAGCAUUUGGGCCUGUUGUUUCUCUCGUGCCCCUGCACUGUCCAACAAAUAGAUUCAGGAAAACAUGUAUAUAUACCCUAUACUAUCUUGACAAAUCCCUUCAAGCACACCUAUCUCACUGUAAACACUCCAUCAAAUUCAAUAAAGGGCCUUAAGUAAAUGAUUGGCAUACCAUAUAAAGAACAACAUAUGCACUUUUAUACAAGGUAANNNNNNNNNNNNNNNNNNNNNNNNNNNNNNNNNNNNNNNNNNNNNNNNNNNNNNNNNNNNNNNNNNNNNNNNNNNNNNNNNNNNNNNNNNNNNNNNNNNNNNNNNNNNNNNNNNNNNNNNNNNNNNNNNNNNNNNNNNNNNNNNNNNNNNNNNNNNNNNNNNNNNNNNNNNNNNNNNNNNNNNNNNNNNNNNNNNNNNNNNNNNNNNNNNNNNNNNNNNNNNNNNNNNNNNNNNNNNNNNNNNNNNNNNNNNNNNNNNNNNNNNNNNNNNNNNNNNNNNNNNNNNNNNNNNNNNNNNNNNNNNNNNNNNNNNNNNNNNNNNNNNNNNNNNNNNNNNNNNNNNNNNNNNNNNNNNNNNNNNNNNNNNNNNNNNNNNNNNNNNNNNNNNNNNNNNNNNNNNNNNNNNNNNNNNNNNNNNNNNNNNNNNNNNNNNNNNNNNNNNNNNNNNNNNNNNNNNNNNNNNNNNNNNNNNNNNNNNNNNNNNNNNNNNNNNNNNNNNNNNNNNNNNNNNNNNNNNNNNNNNNNNNNNNNNNNNNNNNNNNNNNNNNNNNNNNNNNNNNNNNNNNNNNNNNNNNNNNNNNNNNNNNNNNNNNNNNNNNNNNNNNNNNNNNNNNNNNNNNNNNNNNNNNNNNNNNNNNNNNNNNNNNNNNNNNNNNNNNNNNNNNNNNNNNNNNNNUGAGAUUCAUGUUGACUUUUGUUGUUGUUGUUCAUCGACAUUCUUUGUUGCUGUUUUUGUUUAACACUCCUCCCUGACUGAAUAUCUUUGAGUUGUAUCCAGCCCGAGAUUUAUGUUGAUUUUUGUUUUUGUUGUUGUUGUUGUCUACAUCUUCAUAUGGUAUAUGAGCAUAUUUUUCAUGUAUUGGUUUUGGGUUUUGUAAUACAUGUGUAUGUAUCCUACUUUUCAUGUAUUGGUUAUGGGUUAUUAAUACAUGUGUAGGUAUCAUACUUUUCAUGUAUUGAUUUUGGUUUUGAUUUUGGUUUUGGUUAUGGGUUAUUACAUAUGCAUAUUUCAUGUAACACAUAAAGAUGUAGUUGUGGUUAUGAUUUUUUUUUUUGUUAUGGGUUUUUGUUGAUUUUUUCAUCUUCUUCUUCAUCAUCUUCUCCUUCUUCCAUCUUCACGGGUCCUUUUGAACGACGGCGCUCUGAUGCCACUGAUAUGGUUUUUUUGUGUUUUUGUAUUGCGGAAUUUGGUGUGAUAUAAAUUUAAGGAGAAAACUCUCCUCAAAUAUAGGGUUAUAGGAAGAAUACUAAAGUUCUUAUUUUAUUCAUCAUGCUUAUGGCUCUAUAUAUAGAGCUACAUAAAAAAAACACUAAUCCUAUAAUAAAAUUUAAACAAAUCUUAAAUAUUCUAAACUGAAAUAUAAAUCAUAAACUCUAAUAUUAUAUUAUUUCAAAUAUAAAUCUAAACUAUAUUUAAAUAUAAAAUCUUCCAAAAAAAAGAUAUUUAGACAUUAUUCCCAACAAUUCCUUUAUAUAUUCUAAAUUGGUUUGUGAAUUGAGUGUUAGAUAAUACACAUUAGCAAGUCCUUUUGAUAGAAAUGAUGACUAGGUUGCUUAACCUUGGUGAUUUGAUACUAUUUGUGUAGUCUUUUGUUGAUUUACAUUUGUUUAUUUGUAUCCAUGUUUCCUUUUCUUUAUGCUAUCUUUUCUUUAUAAUAAUAAUGAAUGGAAAUAUAACCAUGUUUGGUCUUACAACUCUGUCAGGUUCAACCUUCUACAAUACUUGAAUUUAUUUUGCUUCCUUUCAAUUAAGAACAAAUGAACUACUGAUCAUUUGAUGACAGUAGCCAUUUAACCUACCUGUUAUUCAUGCUUUAGAGUUUACAACAAUAUAGCAUCUUUGAGUUUCUUAGAUACCAUAGUGUUCGGUUUUAAGUGUGGCUGGUUAAGUGUGACAACGACUAUAAUGAGUAGAAUGUUGAAUGUAUAAGAUAAGUGAUAUCCAUUAACCUAAUGUCUUAAGGUUUUUAGUGAAGAUGUGGUGUCUCUCUCUCGUGGUCUUGGAGCAUUUGGGCCUGUUGUUUCUCUCGUGCCCCCGCACUGUCCAACAAAUAGAUUCAGGAAAACAUGUAUAUAUACCCUAUACUAUCUUGACAAAUCCCUUCAAGCACACCUAUCUCACCGUAAACACUCCAUCAAAUUCAAUAAAGGGCCUUAAGUAAAUGAUUGGCAUACCAUAUAAAGAACAACAUAUGCACUUUUAUACAGGUAAGUAUGACAAUUUUUUGGAUUCCAAUGUAUAUGAAGUGCCUAAAAUAAACACUCUUAAUCUGUUUUAGUUUUAUUUUUGUGAAGAAUCAAAUAGUUGAGAAGUUUUUGAAGUUUGUAUUUUCACUCAUCUUUGCUAGUUUUCCUUUCUUUUUUUUUUGUUUUCCAAACACAGCAUCAAGAUCCAAAGAGAAAAGAGUAGAGAAAAACACAACAAACCAAAUCAUACUAAUACUUAAAUAGAUCUAAGAUAGUAAAUUGAAGCCAAAUCAUUAGUACGAGGUCUGAUGCCGCCGCACACCCUACACACGGGUGUGGGCCGGGUCUGCAUUCCAUGAGUAUUUUUGGCCCUAGAUGAAGGCUAAAUACAUCUGGACUUCUCAAACAAGGUUCUUUAACCACUCCUAGCAUAUGCGGCAUAAAAAAUACCAGCUGUGAAAUACCAACAGUGAAAUCACCACAUCAUUUGCAUGCAUAAUUUCUUGAACAAGCAGAAAUCAAGAUUGGCAGCUCAUGUCAUUGAUUUGCCAUAAAAACAACACUUAAACACAAGGGGAGCUAGAAGACAAGCUAGGAAAUUAAUUAUACUACUCUUUAUUUUUAUUGUGACAGUUCAAUUCAUGGAUUUGCAAAAAAAAAAAAAAAAUCAACACUUAACAAGCAAACACUUAUGUAUUUUGAUGUUGUUGUUACAUGAAAUGAAAAGAAAAUUAAUAAACAUCAUUUUUACUUUGUGAACGUUGACGGAAGGGAUCGNNNNNNNNNNNNNNNNNNNNNNNNNNNNNNNNNNNNNNNNNNNNNNNNNNNNNNNNNNNNNNNNNNNNNNNNNNNNNNNNNNNNNNNNNNNNNNNNNNNNNNNNNNNNNNNNNNNNNNNNNNNNNNNNGGUGAACCAAUAUCUAGGAAGCACCGACACUCCUCAGAUUAGGCGUGUCUGUGUCGGACACGUGAGGUGUCCGUGUCCGACAUCGACACCGACACUUAUGAUUACACUAAAUUAUGUUAUUUUUCCAAAUUUUUAUCAGUGUCGACGUGUCAGUGUCCGUGUCGUAUCCAGUGUCCGUGUCUGUGUCCGUGCUUCAUAGACCAAUAUACAUAUACCUUGAAUCCUGAUUUUAUUUUAUAAUAAUUUUUUAAAGAAAAUAAAAAAAGAACACUUGGCAUGAUCUGGAACCCACGAUUGAUCGGACGGCCUUAGAUGAAGCAAAGUCAGGCUGCAGUUCCCGUGUAAUUGUCCCAUUGAUACAUAUUAUUGCAGAAGUUAAAAUGGACAGAUUUUGGGCUUAGGCUCCUUUUGUACCCAAAAAAAAAUAAAAUGGACAGAUUUUAUCUUAACUUUAUAUUAUUAAUAAUUAGAGAUUUUAUUUUGCCACCCUACUCAUUCUGGAGCACGCCCUAUGAAUUUAUCAAAAUACCCCCGUCUGUUAUUUAAGUAGUGGACACCCCCCAAAACACCCUACCUUUAUAACGUCCGUCACUUAAAUAGCAGACGACGUGUUUUAGAAAUUCUUAUUUUUAUAAUGUCUGUUACUUAAAUAGCAAAAACGUAAAAAGGGAAUGACUUAGGACACGCGAGUAAUCGGUAGGGUUGCAAAAUAAAUCCCUAAUAAUUACAUGUGCAAAAGAUUGUAAGAGGAGUCUACGUAUACGAUAAGAUCCUAGGUGUAGUACAUUGUCUAGUCGGGACACCUGGUUUACCCUAGUUGGAGGCUUUGUGUUUUGGUAAUUGGUUAUAGUUGGAGAGAGAAAAAUUGGAGUAGGUUUUUAUAGUAGUAGGACACCACACCACUAGGCUAAAAAAGAAUAAUAUAAUAUCAAAAUGUUUUUUUUUAUUUGAUGGUAUUUAUCCAACAAUUAAUAAUGAUAAAUAUAAAUUACUUUUCAUAUGAAAUAAAAAUUAGUUUGUAGAAAUUAUUACAUACAAAUUUACUUAUAUGACUUAUUUUCAUUGAAUAUUGAAUAUAUACAUUCAACUCUUUAAAGAAUAAUGUAUGUCUCACGUAUCAAAAUAUUUCUUUUGUGAUAAAAUAUAAUCAAAAUUUAUCAUUUUAGAUAGAUUAAUAUAGAAUUUUUAUAGUUCCCGCGAACUUAGCUCAGUUGGUAGGGACAUCGACUAUAUGUGCAAGAAUUCAGGUUCGAACCCGGGACACUCCACUUAUUCAUCUUUAUAAUGAAUUUUCUAGUCACUAAACUACUUAAACAAAACAAAAAAAAUAGAAUUUUUACAUAAUUGACGUAUUUGAUCCAUAAUACUCCCUCCGUCUCAAUAUAUAAUUGACGGAUGAAAUAUAAAUUAGAUAUAUUAAUUAUCCUAUAAAAAUAAAAAGAUAAUUUUUAUUUAUAGUUUAUCUCAUUAAGAGUAUCUUCUAGAACACUCAAUGAUGCUUUUUAUUCUCGACAUAGUAGACUAAAAAAGGUAAUUAAAGCAUUCAAAAUAAUAUGCUAUUUUUAGCUCUUUUUUCCUUAAUUUGUUUAAAAAAAGCACUUUUAUUUUAACAACUUAUUGCGAUUAUAUUUUUUUUUCCUUUAUUUGGUAGAUACAUCAUGUGACUGUGGAAUUGUGUAUGUACUAGGAGGAGCAGAUAACUCACUGCAAUUAUUGUUAUGUUAUGGCUGUUUGUUGAGUUGAACUCGGGCGCGUAAGGAAAGCGAUGCUUCUUGGAUAAUGUACUACAUGACAGUUAAGUUGUUCCUCUCUUACAGCCACAUGCAUGCCUUGCUUUUUAGAAAUUAAUUAACUUUUUGUUUAUUUAAUGGAUUGAUUUACACAUUUUAAAUAUAAAAAAUUGUUUCGAAAAAAUAAAUAUAAAAAACUGUGAAAUCUUAAAUUCAUUAAACUUGUAUCUUUGUAAAUUAACGUUCAUGCAAUUUUCGACUGAAUUAUACUUACGCUUAAUUUAUUUGUUGAAUAUCUAGUUAAUAGGGUAAAUUAUGUUCAUGUUUUGAGUUGGAUUCCAAAUGAAUUGUAGACGGUUGCAGAUCCACUGCCCAACCAGCCCGAAUACUUAUUCAGACUCUGGUCAAUAUUUUAUUUAAAACUAAUAUUUUAUCUAGACUUUAUAAAUUUUUUGUCUCAGUUACCGAUUAUAGACUCUUUUAAUCAAUACCAUGUAUGUUUUUUAUUUUUUAUUUCGGUUUUCAUAUAGGUUCUUUAAUUAGAAAGUUAAUCUAUAUUUGUGGUGUGUAAGAUAUUGACUAAUGUCUAUGUAUGUUGAUUAUAAUUUGUACACUGUUAUGAAUAUAUUAGUAGAUGUCCAUUAGUCUUGGCCCAUAUUCAUUGGCCCAUAUAUUAUCCUAUAAAUAGAGCAUAUGAUACAAUGUGUCAUACACCUUGAAUAGAACAAUACAAUAGUCUAUUCCUUUCUCUUCUCUCUUUCUCUCCCUCUUCUCUAUUCUAGUUAUUCUCUAGAAAUAGUUCAUAACACGUUAUCAGCACGAUAGUCUCUCUCCCCUCUCUAGAAAGNNNNNNNNNNNNNNNNNNNNNNNNNNNNNNNNNNNNNNNNNNNNNNNNNNNNNNNNNNNNNNNNNNNNNNNNNNNNNNNNNNNNNNNNNNNNNNNNNNNNNNCAAAAGUCUCCAUGCAAGAAUCGACACAUUCAAAGGAAUUUGUCUAUGCUAUAUAAGAUCGUGACCAUCAUCCAAAUCAACCAUGUCCUGAGAAGUCAAUAACUGAUAUGCACCACGAACAGAGUAACCAUGAUAAGGAUCUGGCAACCACUGUCAUCUGUGUAAAGUACGUGUCUGCAAAGAUAUAUAGUAAGUAGUAAGGUCUGACACUCCCCCAACAUCUCCUCCUCCCACACCCACAACCGCCUUCUCCAAGCCCACUCUUGUCCGCCAACCCUCAACCUAACAAAGACAUCUCAGCUACCGUAGCAGAUUUGUUCUCUGUCAACUCAAACAAACGCCCAAACCUCACACACAAAGCACUAUCUCCUAGCCAUGAGUCUGUCCAAAACAAGGUAUCAGACCCAUCCCCCACCUUCUUUGAGACACUCUCCCGAAACCACCUCACACCAUCAGCACACUCCCGAAUUCUCACAAUCUCCCUCCACCACGCAGACCAUCGCCACCCUCCCUCUUUCACCCUACCUCCCUCCAUCCCAUACCUAGCUGCUAGCACUCUAAACCAUAAACUCUCUAUAUCCAUCAAUAACCUCCAACACCAUUUACCUAAUAAAGCUAAGUUAAACUCCCUCAACUGCCUCACCCCUAACCCAACAUACUUGUAACGACCCGAUUUUUAUUAUUCGCUAUUUAAGUAUUUAAUUAAUUGUUGCGAUAACUUUUAAUUAAGUUAGUGACAUAGUUAUUUAUCGAGAACAUUAGUUAACGAACGAGUUAUGUGGCGUGUGAGUGUUGGGCCGAGUUAAUGGGCCUUGCCCAUUGGGCCUAAGUCACAAUGAAAAUGGGGAGAGCUUUAAAUAGCUCAAAGUAGAUAGAGAGAAUCAUUUUUGUGAUUCAAGAGGAAGAGGUAGAGAUAAGGAGGAGAAAAGCUAGGGAAAGAAGAGGAGAGAAAAGCUUGAGAUUCGAAGAGGAAGCUCGAGAUUUCGUCGGAUCUAAGGUACGAGAGUUAGAUUGCAUAUUCGUGAGUGGUCAUAAAGAUGUGAGGAUGUCGAUUCCUCCAUUCCCAAACUCUUUCGCUCAUUUUCAUUUUUGGGUUGUGGAAUUUUUCUUAAUGAAAGUGAAAUAUAUUGAUCAUAACAUGUUUAAUAAACUCUUAACAAGUUGUAUGAAUGAAUUGGUGGGGUUUAAAAUGAGAAUUUGUAGAUGUUUGCUCAAGAACAUGUGGGUGUGUGUGAGUUUGAGUAAAAUGUAUAAAUCUCAUACUUUUUGAUGUGUUUGUUGUGGAUCCGAAAAUCAAACCGUCCUUUGAUGUUUAUAUACAUGUUGUAUGCGUGAAAAUACUUUUUCUAUGGAUCUGGAACAUCAAAAAUGAAGUUUUGGGUCAAAAUGAGCGAUUAUUUGCUUAUUUUCGUGAAAAUCUGAGAUACAGUCAGUUGCACUAGGCCCCCGGCGUGACUUUCCACGCCCGAUGUAAUUGAUUUAAGGGAUUCAUGUUUUUUUGCUGGAUAUUACGUCUGGCGUGAUCCCUUUCACACCCGGCGUAGUUCAUUUUGGACCUGCGUUGACCGUUGACUUCAGGGUUGACUUUUUGGUAGUUGUUGCACCUAGAACCUAUUUUACUCGGUUUUUUGCGUAGAUUCCGAUUCAGGAGUUUGUUUUGUGAGAUAAUGCAUGCUUAAUACAAUUGAAUUAUAUUAUUAAUAUUGUGUUAAAAUGUGAGUAAAUGUAUUGUAUGUGAUAAUGAUGUGUUGAUGAAUUGUUGAUGGUAUGUGUGGAAUAUAAUUGUUGUUGAUGAUUGUUGAUGAUGUUUGUUUAAAUAUCAAAGAAGAAUAUUAAGGUGUAAAUCAACUUAAUAAAGAAGAAUAUUAUGAAUUGUAUUAUAAUCCCAAUAAAAAAGAAUAUUAGAAUUAUGUUAUUCUAAUAAAGACGAAUAUUAGGUAUAGUGUUAUCUAAUAAAGACGAAUGUUUGAUAGUGUUUCACAUUUAUAAUUGAUGAGCUUAAUGCUAAAUCUAUUUAUUGAUGUGUCAUAAUAAAUGAGCAGAGUCCAUCAUGACAUAAAUCUGAACACGAGUAGUGUCCUAAAUGACUUAAAAUUGUAUGGAUUAUGUAUCCGAAAAUGAAUGAAUAAAUGGUAUCGCGUGCAUUAGAUAUGUCUAGGGUGACAUAGCAUCAGUUGUGGCAUUAGAUUGCAUUAGGAUUAUGUGUACAUUACGUGAUAAUUGGUGUGUGACACAUAUUUGGAACUUGUUAUAAAUUGUCUAUACUUGCUAAAUGUUUGUUGUUUAUAAAUGAUGUUUUGAUUACAAUUAUCUUGUAAUCAGAUCUAUUCUUGAAUGAAGAUAUUAAUGUAUAUUUGUGAGUUAGAGUCUAUCAGAUCAAGGUCGGAAAGUCGGGCUUUCAAGGAAUCUAUCUUACUGGAUAAGUUUUGAGUACGAGCCAAAUGCCACUCUUUCAGAGUCACCUUAAUCAUCUUAAAUUUUUCUUUAAGGACAAAACCACCCCAGUCGUCAACCUGUAAAGAAUUCCAUUUAUCCUUCACAAAUAGUUUAUACCCCGGAACGUCUGACCAACACUUCAGCAUCCUUGAAGGACGGGAGCCCCAGUUCUCCUCAUUGGCUGACAAAAUCAGCGGACAGUGAUCAGACAAACUACGCAUCUGAUCAACAACAGUAUUUUAAAAUACAAAUUAUAUUUCUGAUAAAUUAAUUCUCGUGUUUAAUUUAUACUAUAUAUUUUACUUGAUUAAAAACUUAUAAUAUUAAAAUCUGAAGGAGAUUAAAAAAAGGGUCUUGUUAACAUGUGCAUAUAGGGCACAUGAUAAAGUAUCUUAAUAUAGAAAUUUAACAUUUAAUGAUACAAGACAUUUAAUGCUUGAAAAGUUAAAAUGCAUAAAUUCCAAGGCAUAAUUUCUAUUUUUACUACCUUAACAUGUGCCAUAUAUGCACAUGUUAACAUUCUCCUUAAAAAAAAAAUCUGAAGUGUUUAACACCGUGACAUUUUUGUUAGGGUCAUGCUAAAUUUUAUGUAAAAGAUGUCAAUUUUUAAGGAGUUAAAUGUACCAUUCUAAAAAAAUGUACCAUUCUCAAAAUAAUAUUUUUUUUUACGAUGUCAAAAAAAAAAUUACUUCUCUAAGAAAUCUGUGGGCCACUUGUUUGAAAUUUUAAUUUUUUUUUUAUUACACUUUAGUGCUGUUUUUUGUUUCACAAGAACUUUAGUGUUGUUACAUGUGAGAAAAGAUGUUUUCUCUCCCCACCCCUGUGAUUCUUUUAUACCCUUCAAUAUUCCGAUUUUGCCUUUAUAAAAAACUUCGAUUCGCAGAAAUCGAAUUUUUUCUAGUACAAAUUCAAAGUAAAUUUCAGUUUUCAAGGCAAAAAAAACUUCGGUUGCAAGGGUAAAAUUGGAAAUUCAAGGGGUAUAAAAGAAUCACGGGGGGUGGGGAGAGAAAACAUCGUGAGAAAAUCACUAUCAUUCCCUAUCGUUGUUUUGCGUGGACCUCUCCUCACAUAUGAAAGGAGAAAAUAAAAAAUUAUGGAGCCCACCUUUUUUAUAAUUUUUAUUAUUAUUAUUACUUUAUAGAUCUAGGCAUUUGUUAUAAUUAUAAAAUAUGGAUAAAAUAUAAGUGAAAUGUGAAACUGUGUUCUUUCUUGUAAAAUUAUUGAAUGAAUCAUAUAAAUAAAUCUAUUAAAAUGAGAUACCUAUAAAAGACCAUUAUACCCUUGCUUGCACCACAAAGCUUCAUGUGUCAAGCAACUAUAAUAAUAAUAAUAAUAAUAAUAAUAAUAAUAAUAAUAAUAAUAAUAAUAAUAAUAAUAAUGUUUUAUUACAUUUUCAUUGAUACAUUGAUUUUAUGUCAUUUUGUUUAUAGUAGUAAUUUUUAUGGGGAUGUAAACUUUUAAAUAUAUAGUAAUAUGUGUGUUUAUUUUUUUUUUAAUAUUUUUUACACGAAAAUUUCUUCUCAUGAUAAAUCUCAAUAAAGUUUUAUAUUUAGGGACAGAGGUAUUAAUUUCUACGAGGACUUAUAUUUCUACUCAUAUAUUAAUAUAUAUAUUUUCUCUAUAAUUUUAACGGGGAUCUAUAUAUUAAAUAAUAUAAUAAUAUGCAUGCCUAUUUAUUUUAUGUAUAAAUAUUUGUCAUUAUACAUAAAAUAAAUCACUAAACAAGAUCUAUAUUUCUAAUCAUAUAAUAAUACAUGUGUCUAUUUUUUAAUAAUUUCAACGCAGAAAUUUCUAUUUAUGAAAAAUCUCUAGAUGGAGGUAGUAAUUUCUAAGGGGACCUAUAUUUCUUAUCAUAAAUUAAUUAGUACAAGUGUCUAUUUUCUAUAAUUUCAAUGGGGACCUAUAUUAAUAUUUGGCUUAACUACACAUUUGGUCCCUUACGUUUAUUUUAGGUUUCAAUUUGGUCCCUUACGUUUAUUUUAGGUUUCAAGUUAGUCCUUUUUGUCAAUUUUGUCAUAUGUGGCAGCCAAUUUGCAUAUGUGNNNNNNNNNNNNNNNNNNNNNNNNNNNNNNUAGAUCACUAUAUAUAGAUCACUAAUCACUUAGAAAUUUACAAAAAAGAAUAGAGAAAAAUCUCAAGAGGAUCUUAUAUUUAAAAACAGAGGUAAUAAUUUAUAUGAGAAUCUAUAUUUCUACUCAUAUAUUAACUAAGACAAGUGUUUAUUUUAUAUAAUUUCAACGGGACCUAUAUUUCUACUCAUAUAAUAAUACAUGUGCCUAUUUAUUUUAUCUAUAAAUAUUUAUCAUUUUACGUAAAAUAGAUCACUAAUCAAAUAUUUGUUAUUUGACGAAUAUGAAGAACAGAGCAAGCCAAACAUUUACUUUUGAUACAUAAAUAGAUAAGGGAAAAAAUAUUUAUUAUUGAUAAUUACAACAAUCUUGCAACGAUGAGUAAUUUCAUAACGGGACUAAUUUCGCAAUGUACAAUACUCGCCCUACCUUAAAAAAAUCACGGCAACGCCACGACCCGUGCGUAGGCACAAGUAUUAUCCUAGUUGUUUUUAUUAAAGCUAUUGUCUCUANNNNNNNNNNNNNNNNNNNNNNNNNNNNNNNNNNNNNNNNNNNNNNNNNNNNNNNNNNNNNNNNNNNNNNNNNNNNNNNNNNNNNNNNNNNNNNNNNNNNNNNNNNNNNNNNNNNNNNNNNNNNNNNNNNNNNNNNNNNNNNNNNNNNNNNNNNNNNNNNNNNNNNNNNNNNNNNNNNNNNNNNNNNNNNNNNNNNNNNNNNNNNNNNNNNNNNNNNNNNNNNNNNNNNNNNNNNNNNNNNNNNNNNNNNNNNNNNNNNNNNNNNNNNNNNNNNNNNNNNNNNNNNNNNNNNNNNNNNNNNNNNNNNNNNNNNNNNNNNNNNNNNNNNNNNNNNNNNNNNNNNNNNNNNNNNNNNNNNNNNNNNNNNNNNNNNNNNNNNNNNNNNNNNNNNNNNNNNNNNNNNNNNNNNNNNNNNNNNNNNNNNNNNNNNNNNNNNNNNNNNNNNNNNNNNNNNNNNNNNNNGAUACCAAGUUUUAAAAAAAAAAAAAAAAAACUAUAUAUACACGUGUCUAAGUGUCCGCAUAUAUGUCCACAUAUGUAAAUUGUUUGUCACAUACGACAAAACUGACGGAAAUGACUAACUAAUACAAACAGUAGAAGCAAAAGGAACCAAAUUGAUACUUUUCAAAAGUCAUAAAUUAUAUUUGUAGUUAAAAGCUAACAAAAAAUAAAACUAAAAAUUUGAAGCUUAAAAUUCAUAUACAAACCUAAAAACUGACUAAAAUGAUAUAAAAAAAUAAAGACUAAAAUAUUAAUUAAAAUUAGAUUAAGGGAUUAAACAUGUAAUUUUAUAUUUCAAAAAAAAAUUAUAUAAAAAAUAAAAAUAAAAAAUUAUAUUUCUUUGUUUGUUUCUCUAUUCUUUUUUUCCCCUACGUGUAUAUAACAAAACUCACUUUCCAUUUUCGGCUUUCACUAUUCAUAUUUUCUUCUUUUUCCAUUAUUUUCUUCUUACGUUUAGAACCAGAAUAUUUUCUCACGGAACCACCGUGCCGGAACUCUCCUCCGGUCGGCAUCUUCUUCUCCUUCUAAGGUGAGUCUCUUAUAAUUUCAUUACUUUAUUUUCAUUUUUCAAAACUAAAAUUCCUUAAUCAAACAAAGCAUCCAUUAUUAUUUGGUAAUUAAAAACAUCAAAUCUCCAUUUUUUGGAAUUAGAAAAAGCAUCCAUUGUUAUUUGUUUUCUUCAUCAAAUGUUGCACAGAUAUUUUGAACGUUUAUGUGUUUUAAUAAUAUAUUGCUCCUUCUUAAGGUCUCAGAUUUGAUUCUCUCUAAUGCCAAUUUAGGUGGGCUAUUGACGAAAUCACCAAUUCCCCCCUGCUAACUUGUAUUGAAUUUAUCGUCAAUUUAGUCUAUGAAUUAUAUCACUUAUUAGCAAAUAAUUAGUCCAUGAAUUAAUAUCGCUUAUUCUCAAACAAGUUAACAGAAAAACCAAGUUGCUAGUCAUUCAAAAUUGGAUUUUUUUUUUUUGGUCUAUUAACAAGUUUCAGGGUGUAAAUGCUCAACUGCAAUUUUGGGGGUGAGUUAUUGAUUUACUCAAAUAGUAUAUUUCUAUAUACUUGUUCUUAAAUUGUCACAAGCUGCAUAUUACCAAUUUUUAUGUCUCAAGUUUCAACUAUGAUGGUAUAUGUUAUCUUCAUGAGUAUUCUUGUUUGGACUGCUGAUCACCCUCCCCUAUCCCUGCAGAUUAAUUCUUCGUGCAGUUCAGUCGCGGUUGUAAUGCGAAAUUAAUCGGUAAGCUUAAGGUGGAUGAAGGUAUGUAUAUUAGGUGUGUAGAGUUUGGAUAGAUUCUUUUUUAGUAUGUAUGCUUGUGAACUGUGAUAUUGCAAUGUUAAAAAAGGAUGAGAUGCAGUUUAUAUCUGAUUAUUUACAUAUAUUCACAGAAAAACUAAAAGAAAAUAAUAUUUUUCAAUUUUUACCUAUGUUUAUUUAUACAAUAUAUAUUCGUAGUACUAAAUGGCACAAAUCUUCUUCAAUAUAUAUAAAAUAAAAAAUGGUACAGUAGAAACAAUUUUCUAUUCUAAAAUACAAAAAAAUGAAAGUAAACUAACCAAAUCAAAUUGAAAAACUCCAUAAUGACACCUCAACAUCUUGAAAGUCUACAUGAUCAAUAUGUUCAUACUCAUGCCCUAAGCUAUGUGUUGGGGACAUUAGUGCCAUAUUCUUCAAUGACUCUGGAAUGUUCAACUCUCCCUCUUCUUCCUCUUCCAUACUAAAAAUAAGCCGCUCCGGCUCCUCUAUAGCGGCGACAACUUCAAUUGUGUCAGUGUCAUUAACCAUUAAAGUCUUGUUUGGUCUGAAAGCCUCCGCAGCUUCUGAAGCCGCCUUUUGAAUAUCUUUUGUGUUGGUAGUGGUAGGCAUACGAAGCCGCCAAGCUGAGUCUGCAAAGUUGAGACAAGCAUUGCGACCUCUCAAUGCCAAUGCGGCAACAUCAUGGGCUCGUGCUGCCAUUUCGGCUGUUGGAAAAGUCCCUAGCCAAAUCUUAGUCUUUUUGUUAGGCUCUCUCAUUUCACAUACCCAUUUAUCUAAGUUCCUCCUCCUCACACCCCUAUACACCGGGUGGCGAGUCUCUUUGAACUUCUUUCUCCCUGCACGCUUCUUCGGGGUACUCGCAGCUAACCGCACCUCCUCGUUGGAAGUUGACAUACCAUGAGAGACAUCUAAAUUGGGAAGAGAUAUUUUGUGUGACGAAGAGGAAGGUAUUGAAGAAAUGGGGUGUGAAGAGGAAGAGUUGUUAGUUGGAAACAUAUGUAUGUGUUAAAGAGAGUGAAAAAGUUUUAAAAGGGAAACUUGGAAUUGAAGAUAGGGCAUGUUAAAGAGAGUAAAGAGUAUGGUGUUGUAUUUAUUAGGGAGGUGUCAUGGUUGAAGGAAUGGUAACAGUGAGAAUACUGUUUUGUGAGUGUGUGUGUGUGUUUUUUUUGUGAGUGAAUGAGAGAAUGGACUACGGAGCUUCAAACACACCUCUUUUGGAUUACUAUUAUAAAAGCUAUCUAUGUCAUAUCUUUAGUCAAUGUGAGACUUUUAACACACUCCCUCACGUCCAGAACUGAACAAGCUGAAACGUGGACUCAAUAACAAUGGGUGGUCCAAAUAUGAGAGGUCUCCACAACAAACAACAAAUGGAUCUAACAUAGGCUCUGAUACCAUAUUAAAAUUUGAGAGGCUCAUACUGAACCACAAAAAUUAGCUUGAGAGCUGAAGUUUACACUACUAUUAUAAAGAUUAUCUAUGUCAUAUUUCUAGCCAAUAUGAGACUUCUAACAUUACUUAUAUCGAAUGCAAGAGUUUCUUUUUCUCGAAAGGCACAGUAUUUACCUUAGAGAAUAAUGCUAGCAACACACUCUUUAACAAACACACUCCAACACACUUUUUUUUAUUGGUUGAAAUUCACAUGGGUCCCAUAAAAAAAGUGGACCCAUAUAACUUUUAUGUGACCAUAUAAAUUUUAACCAAUAGAAGAGAAUGUGUUAGAGUAUGUUUGUUAAAGAGUGUGUUGCUAGCACUCCUCUUGUUGACUACCGUUGAGAAAAGAGACGUGUGCGUGUUUGUAGUGGAACCCCACACCAGGCUCAAAGAGUAGUAAUAAUGUUAUCAAAAUAUCUUCAAAGACAGUAGAUGAUGUUUUUUAUUCGUCGACAAAGAAGACUAAAUAAGGUAAAUAAAGCAUUCAUGAGAAUGUGCUGUUUUUAGCAUAUUUAUCUUCCUGUAUAGUGUAUACUAUUUCAUCCGUUAUAAGUGGAAAAUUCUUUCAUAGACGCAAAUAUAAAUAUGAGGUGUUAGACACAUUCACAUAAAAAAGCAAAAAUUAAAAAAAAAAUUAAAAAAUAAUGUUGAUUGAUGUGAUUAUAUUACUUUUGAUUUAAAUUUUUGAAUUAGUGUGUGUGCGCCCAAAUAAAAUAUGAUUUGGGUUUGUGUCUAUCCAAAUCUUUCUCGUUAUAAGUUAGGAAGCAUGUACAUCUUAAGUAUGUCACGAUGUCCAACACGUAUCGGUGUCUGACACUCGUAUGACACUUCUAUGAUACGUGUUGGAUAACUCAGAUCGAUGUUCAAAAAAAAAAACUCAAUUUUGACACUUCUUUCAUCGAUGUCUGAACCUGUAAGACACUCGUAUGACGUGUCAGACAGGUGUCCCAAAUUUUUUUAUUUUUCUUUGCUUAUACUCUUCUUAGACACAUAUCACACAUAUCUACAAGAGUUAACGAUGUGUCGAAACAACAAUAUUGAUCAAUGAGAGAUUGAAGAGAUUACAUUUUGAUUACUAUAUUUUUAGAUUUUUCAAUAAUAGAUGGAUAAAUAAAGGUAAAAUACUAUCAUAUCUUGUUUUAAACUUUUUUUAAGAAAUAAUUUGCUCAACUUAGAUUUAUAUGUAUAGAUAUUUUGAUUCUUAAUUUAUAUCUUUUAUAAAUAUGUAGUGAUGUCGGUGUCCUAUAAUUUUUACUUUAGCGGUGCCGCCAUGUCCUUGUCGUGUCGCGGUGUCCGUGCUUCAUAGGUUAUAAGCAAUAUUUCAAAGAUAAAUUUAUCCCUAAAUAUCUCUUUUCAAUUUUGUAGACACAUUUAUUAUUAUUUUUCCAAAAAUAACACUACUUUGCAUUGGAAUACGAAAAGUCAAAUAAAAAUAUAUCGUUUCACAAAGGACAAUUUAAUAAUUAUAAUACUCAAAAAAUACACAUUUAUUACACUACCAACUUUUCUUAAUAUGCGUAAAAAAAAUUAAUGGAGGCCUAUAUUAAGGGACAGAGGGAGUAGUAUUCUAUACUUUAUAAAAUGCGUUAUUUUAUAUCCCAUUAACUUUAAGCAUAUGGUUAGAGAUUCAAUGUUUGGCUCAUGCGUAUGGACAAAAACUUGAUCUGGCCAGGAGAAUCAACCUUGUGUUCCCACAAGUUACCCGACGGAGAUUAGUCAUCGCUAACUGCAGUGAAAACUUCGUACCAAUAUCAUCGUUAACUGCAGUGAUAACAAUUAACUUUAAACUAAUAUUUUAUGUUAAAAAAUUUAAGUCAUUAUUAAAGAAAUUAAUUUUCUUUCUUUGAAUAUUUUAUUAUUUUAGAAUCUAAAUUUAAUAUAUAAUAGAUUUUAAUUGACUUUGGUAAUUUAUCCGAGAAUUGUAUUGCAUUUUGUAUAGUUUCAUAAUUAUAAAAACAUUUAACAUUAUAUGUGAAUGAUGUGCGUAAAAAAUAGUAGUAAAAAUAUUUGCAUUUGAAUUUUGAUUAUAUUAAAAUGGUCAUUGAAUUGUUUGUUAUCACAAAAAUAUUUAUUUUAGCUCAAUUGUCAGUGAAAAUGGAUUAAAUAUGUACCUCAGGGUAUGUGGUUCGAUUCCAACAGAAGACAAAAAUUCUACUAGAGAGGGGUAUAAAAGAUCGUGAGGUACAACGCCGAGUUUGUCUUCUAAAUAUGUAGAAAAUGGGCCGAAGUUGUUACUUGGGAGUCAAUAUAUUAACCCUUUAAUUUUCAGAAGAAGAGAUCCCGAUAAUCUAAACUUCGAUCACGAGGUAAAUAAAACCUGACAAAAAUUGUUCCCACAAAAAAUUGAGUGAUAAAAAAGAGUAAUAAUGUUAUCAAAAUAGAUGAUGUUUUUUAUUCGUCGACAAAGAAGACUUAAUAAGGUAUAUAAAGCAUUCGUAGGAAUGUGCUGUUUUUAGCAUUUAUCAUUUUUUUUUACUAAGCAUUUAUCUUCUUUUAUAACUCAUUUUAUAAUUGUAUUAUAUAUUUUUUUUUAUUAAAAUUCUGAUUUUUAAGGAAUGUGUUUGAUAAUUUAGAGAUCGACCACGAAAUAAAUAAAAUUUUUGAUUAAUUAUUUUCACUAACAAUUUAAUUUGGGUUCUUCCGAACAAUCUAUUCUAUGAAGAGCUCAAUAAUGAUUAACCACUUAAAUUCAAUGUCUUUGUUAAUUGGAUUUUAUAUUAUUCAAAUUUAAAUAUUUUUUUCCUUAAAAAAAUUUAAAUAUAUUUUUAGUUUCUAUAAAAUUAUAAAUUUUGUUAUUCGUUUUCAUAAUUUUUUUUCUGUAAAUUUAAAUCUCACAAAAUUAUCCUGUAAAUUAUUUUAGUUUUUUUUUUUUUUUNNNNNNNNNNNNNNNNNNNNNNNNNNNNNNNNNNNNNNNNNNNNNNNNNNNNNNAUAGUCAUUGUUGUUAAGUUAGUUUAUAUUUUUGUUGAUGUAUAUAGAAUAUUAUAAAAAGACCCCUCUAAUGUUUUUUUAUUAUUAAAUAAAUUAAGUAUAAAUGUUUUAAAUAUUAAAAGCUGAAGAUAAAAGUAAUGAAAACUCACAAAAAAGAAAUUUUAAGCUAUUUUUUGUGGAGGAAAAAUUUCUUUUCUCAUCUACCUAUUUUUCCUUUUCUAUUUCUUGAGCUUGAAUUCGACCGUAGUGAUAGUGAUACUUACAUAGACAUUUGAGUUCUGCUUACAGCCACAUGUUUUUGGAAAUCAAUUUCGCUUAAUGUAUUUUUCUUUAUUUGUAUUUAGAAUAUUAUUCUUUUUUGACACUAGAAUAUUAUUCUAUAUAUGGAUAAUAUUUGUGAUUUAUAAAGGAAUAUAUCAAACAAAAUAUGCACGUCACUAAUUUUGGAUAAAAAUAACAUCUAUUUAAUUUACCCGUUUUGUUAACGAGUGUCCCAAUACUCUAAGCAUUUCCUUUAUAAAAAUUAUUUAUUUUAAAAGUGAAACAUUUCAAUGUCCAAUAUGCUGAUUUUACACAUUUCUAUAAUAAUUUUAUAAAAAUUUAUUAUAUUUAAGAUCAGUGGCGGCUUGCACACAUGUGCGAGGUGUGCGACGGCAUCGGACCUCAAAAUUUUGAGGGUCUCAGCUCAAAAUUUUGAGGUCCUAUAAUAUUACUUAUAUAUUAUUUAUACCUAUAAAAUAUCAGAUGUAUAUUAAUAGAUUAAUUUUUAGGCCCUAAACUAAUAGUUAUAUAUUGUUAAUGUUCAUAUAAUAUCAUAUGAGUAUCAAUAUAUUAGUUAUCUAUACUCGUAAAUAUAGUUUUAGUUCAUUUUAAUCUUUGCAUAAAAUUUAACUUUAGAUUAAGAGGUUCCUUUUUGACGUUAUAUACAAAGAUAAUUACUUUAUAUUUCUUAUCUCAUUUGAUUUAAUGCAAUUAGUUUAAUAUUGAUAAUCUAUAUGUUUACAAGAAUAAAAAUGAUUUUUUUAUAUUAUACGCAAUUUAAAUCGACAAUUUUUUUUAUAAAAAAAUUAAAUUUUUUAUAUUAAGGGGCCACUUUUAUAUUUUGCACAGAGCCUCCUAAAACUCAAAAACGCCCCUAUAAUACAAUAUUAAGAUUCUUAUAGAGUACUCCAAAUUCUAGUUCUUACACAUAUAAUAAAUAUUUCUGACGAUUAAUUCAAUUCAUGGGACAAAUAUAACAUUAUCUAUUAGUCAAAAAAAGAAAAUAACAUAAUCUAUAGAGACUGGCACCCAAAACAUACAUUGUCUUUAUUACUUAUGUAGUAGUACAACGUAGGACAUGAACGACACCACUAUAGCUCCAUGGGGCCAUGACCGACAUGUCUGUAAUUAGUAUCGUUUGGCCUUAUUAAGCAUGUAACUGACAUGCUCAAGUCAAAAACAUAAUACACCACACAGUACAAUAAUGAGUAUGGGUGGAAAAAACCUACCCACAGAUAACAUCUGUCACGGAUUCACAUGAUUGUUUUAUGGAUACCACCAUACUAAAAGAUAAAAUGAAUGAAUCAUUUUUAUUUUAUUUUUGUUAAAUAUAGUUAAAAUUUCAUUUUUAAAAUGGAUAAAUAAAGUAUUUGAAAUUCGAAUUUUAACUCUAUAUAAUAUUUUCUCUUGUCUGUUAAUAUAUAUCUCAUUUUGACUUUUUCAAAAUGAAUCAAAUGAAGUAUAAUGUCUCUUUUAAGUAGGGAUUUAAAUAGAUAUCCAUGGAGACGGAUAGUAUGAUAUAACUGUUCACUCCGUUGAAUAAAUAUGAUAUUCAUUUUCACGGCUAAUGCUACGGUGGACCUGGACCACCUUCAAAAUAAUAAUAAUAAUAUUAACUUUUGAAGGUAUUUAAUAAAUCGUUAAUCUUGAUGGGUCUCAAUAUAACAUAUCAAAUUAUUUUUAAUUUUUCUAACUAUUUCUAUGAAUGAUCUAUAUAAUAUAAACUUUCAAUCCAACGGUGAAUUUUGUAAAAUUCGUAUUCGCUAUAAUGUUAUUCGUGACUAGUCCACCAUAAAGUGGUCUAUGUUAGAAUUUAUCUCAUAUUCACUCUAUAUUUGUGCGGAUAAUCCACAAAUUUUGAGGUACCCACGAAUUGAUAUUUAUAGAUAUCCAUGGAUAAUGAAUUAUUUGAAAAAAUUGUAAUUUUUGUAAAAUGUUUAUUUUUACUUGAAAUUUGUUCAUCUUCUCUUAAAGAAACAAAAAUAAUAAUAUUAGCAGAUAAUAAUAUUUAUACAUUAUUUAAUAUUUUUCUUGAACUAGUAUCUACUGAUCUACAUCAGUUCAAAGUCUUUUUUUUCUUCUUUUUCUUGAAUAUAUAUAAUUGACAUAAUAAUUUUUUUUAUAGACGAAAUUACAAAGUCAUUGAAAACUCAACACCCAAAGUGGAGUGACCGGGAUUUAAACCCCGAUCCUGAAGUCCAACGCUAACAAUUUCGGUAUUUAUGUCAGUUGAGAUAGAAUUUGUAGACAAUAAUACUUUUUUUCUAAAUGACACUUAAAAAAAUGGAUGUAGUAUUAGAGACAUUAUUGGAUGGAUCGACAUUCGAUUCCAAUUUUCACUUUUUGUUUUUUAUGUUAUAUAGCUUAGUGACUAGAAAUUUCACUCUUAAAAUAGAUAAAUAUGAUUUUCGAAGUUCGAAUCCGAAUCCUUGUAUAUAAAAUAAGAUGUUUAUACCAUCUGAACUAAACUCACAAAAAUAAAUUUCAACUUCUCGAAAUUUAAUGUGAGCUAUUUGACUAAAAAAAUAAAUAAAUUCAUUUUUCACUUAUUUGUUGCUCCUAAUUCUUUCGCGGGUGUUUCCAUUAAAGCAAACACGUUAUUAGCGAGAUUAUCUUAUUCCUCCCACUCGUUUUCCUUACCGGCGCGAGUAAGUUAUGAACCCCACAAAUUGUUUUGUAAUUAUUAUUAAUUUUUUCUCUCUUGUCUUAUUCUCUUUUCCACGUGUAUUCUUAUAUUAGCAACACUUCACUUCCACUUUCCACAUUCACUAUUCACAUUUUCUUCUUUUUCCCAAUUAUGAGUUCUUCCAUUUUCUUACUUUUCUAACAAGAAUAUUUUCUAACGGAACCACCGUGCCGGAACUCUCCUUCCGCCGUCGCCGCCUUCUUCUCCUUCUAAGGUGAGUUUCUUAUUCCGCUGCUUUAUUUUUUAUUCAGUUCAUUCUUUCAAACUAAAAAUCCUGAAUUUUCGUUGAUAAUCAUAAACUUUAUCCUCCUGUUAAAUAAGUUAAAUAUUUGAUUUGAGAAAAUCCCCAAUUUUUUGUUGAAUUGAGUGUUUCCUUGUUAUUUAUUUUGAUAUUAAUUUGGUUUUAUUUCUGAUUUUGGAACAGACUGAGUAAAAAAUUGUGUAGUUUAUAAAGAUGUCAUUUUUUUCUGUGUUAACCCUGUUUCGGGGAAAACAUCUGAUAAUCUAGAAUUCGACUGUGACGUAAAUAGACUCUAACAAAAAAUUGUUCUUCUAAAAAAUUGAACUUAGAUUCUACCGAAUGAUUCGUCUUAAUAGAAGCUCAUUCGGGACCAAUCACUUGAUUAAAAUUGGCCUUAGAAGCAAAAUGCAAUGGGUAUUUGGUGGUAAUAAAUAUAUUGGCUGUUUGAGUUAUUAAUGUUGUGUUUAAUUUCUGAUUUGGGAAUUUUGCUGUUGUUGCAUUGUUGUGUUAUUGUUUAGAUUUCUGAUCACUUUGCUGCCAGCUUUACUACCUCAUGUGUUAUAAUAUAGAUCAGAUACAUCACUUAUUCAAUGAAUUUGAAAAGUUGACAUUUUCUUAUAAAUACGGUCGGAGUGAGUACACUGUACAACUAUUGACCAAAACUCAACUUGAAAUCAGCUUAAUGUGUCAACACACUUAAUUCCAUUUGACAUUUCAUAUUAUAACAUAGACUGAAAAAAUCAUACUAGUAGCAUAAUCAGUUAUGGAAAUGGAAUAAUGAAAUCACGUGAUAGUAAAGGGAUAUUGAUCUGUCAUAUUGCAAUAUUAUAAAACGGAUGAGAUGCACUUUAUACUUGUUUAGUUUCAUUCACAGAAAAGCUAUAAAAAUAUAAUUUUUUCAACUUCCAUUUAUGUAUAUAUACAAUAUCAGUACUACUGAUAAAAAAUGGUCCAUUACAAUCCAAAAAUAACAGUAAACUUUAUAUAAAAAUUCAAUAAAAAAUAAACCAAACAAAUAAAAUACAACUGAAAAAACAUUAAAAAACGUAAAAAAAUCAAAUUGAAAAACUCCAUAGUGACACCUCAACAUCUUGAAAAUCUUCAUUAACAUGCUCAUGCUCAUGCUCAUGCUCUAAGCUAUGUGUAGGGGACAUUAGUGCCAUAUUCCUCAAUGACUCUGGAAUGUUCAACUCUCCCUCUUCUUCCUCUUCCAAACUAAACAUAAGCGGCUCCUCUGUAGCGGCGGAAGCUUCAGCUGUGUCUUCAAUGUCGGUAGUCAUUAAAAUAUUGUUUGGUCUAAAAGCCUCAGCAGCUGCUGCAGCUGCCUUUUGUAUAUCUUUUGUCUCUGUAGUUGCAGGUAUAGGAAGCCGCGUAGCCGAGUCUGCAUAGUUUAGACAAGCAUAACGACCCCUCAAUGCCAAUGCUGCAACAUCAUGUGCUCUAGCUGCCAUCUCGGCCGUUGGAAAAGUCCCUAGCCAAAUCUUAGUCUUCUUGUUAGGCUCCCUCAUUUCACAUACCCAUUUAUCUAAGUUCCUCCUCCUGACACCCCUGUAAACCGGGUGGCGAGUCUCCUUGAACUUCUUUCUCCCUGCACGCUUCUUCGGGGUAGUUGCAGCUAACCGCACCUCCUCGUUGGAAAACGAUAUCUCAUGAGAUACCUCUAAAUUCGGCAGUGAUAUCGUGCGGGAGGAAGAGGAUGGUUCCGACGAAAUAGGUUGUGAAGAAGAAGAGCUGCUACUACUAGUAAACAUAUUUAUGUGUUGGAGACUGGAGAUGAAAAUGGUUUUGAGAUCAAGAGAAGUGAGAAUUGAAAAGAGAGUUGGUGUAAAAAGAUUGAAGAGUAAGGUAGUGUAUAUAUAGUGAAUCAUCAUGGUUGAAGAAAUGAGGUAACCGUGAGAGUAUUUGUGAGUGUGUGUGUUUUGUGUGGUGAGUUGGAUAUUUAACUAUAAUGAGAUGAUGAGAUGAGACAACAGGUUUGCCUUGUUGGUUAUUUUAGUGGCUAUAUUUGGUAAAGAGAAAGGGAAACUGAUGAGGAAAGGGACAAGGAGAGAGAAGAAGUGUGCUUAUUUAGAGAGGGACACCCCACAAGGCUCAAAAAGUGUAGUGAUGUUAUCAAAAUAUCUUCUAUGAUACUAAAUGAUGUUUUUUAUUCCUAUAAGAUUAAAUAAGGUUUUUAAAAGCAAACAUAGAAUAUGCUAUUUUUAGCUCUUAUUUCCUUUGAGUCGAAUAAAGCUCUUUACUCCUUUUAUAGUAAUUUUUGUUCUAUAUUAAAAAAGCAAAUAGUGUAUUUUUUGUCAAAUAAAUUAGUGGUGAGAAAUUCAUUCAUUGAUUUUUUAUUUUAUUUUUUUUACUAAUUCAUUCAUUGAUGUUAAUAAGUGGAAUCAAAGGUAAUAUUAUUACGGGGAGUGUUAUUUGAACACCCAUUUUUCAGGAGUAAAGAGGUUUUUGAGAGUCUCAUAUUUAGGGGCGGAGUUGUUGAUUUGUAAUUCAAUCCUGAGUGUAAUUGAAGUUUGUUAGAGGAGUAGAUUAAAAUAACUAACUUGUAACAAGGUAACUAGUCUUGUGAUGUAAAAUAUGUAUCUCAAUCUCUUAUCAAUAAAACACUAUUUUUCAGGAGAGUAAUUCCUUUCAAAGUGUGUGAUGGUGCAUAGGUGCAGGAUAGCCGUGCACCAUUGUUGCAGGAUUUAGGCGCACGAUAGGUGCAGAGAGUAGUAGAUAAAGAUAACUGAUAUAUUUGGACUAUAUUUAAGACUAAAUUAUAUAAGUUAUUCAAUUAAUUUUUUAAAAAAACUAUUUAUUUAUAAUUAAGGCCAGAACAAAUUUUAGGGUUAAAUAAAUAUUUAGAUCCUAUAAAUAUCUUGACUUUUAUUUUCAGUCCCUAUAAAAAAAAUUUAACAAUUUUUUGUCCCUCAAAUAUUUUCGUUCACAACUUUUUGUCCAUACUUUUAAUCAACUUUACGGACUUUCAUAUUUUUUAAUAGUUUUUUGUGUAUUUAUCUUUAUAAUAUUAUAAGAACUUCUUCCAUAAAAAUUUAGAAUUAGAAUUUUUGCAAGAGAGACUACUUAUGAAUUUAGAAUUUUUUAACAUAAGAUAAAUUACUUAUAAAUUUUUAAGCGUAAAAAACUAAAAAAUCAAUAUAUAAUUCAUCUCUUAUUAAAAACAAAUUCAAAUUCAACUUUUGCAAGAGAGAUUCUUAUAAUAUACUAAACAUGUCAGAUAAUUUUUUUAAUUUUUUUUUGAAUGAUAUACAGGAGUUAAUUGAGAAGCAGGGAUACAAAAUUAUGAUAGAAAAUAUUUAAAGUACCAAAGUUUAUUAAAAAAAUGUAUAUAAAUUAAAUUCAUAAAUUAAAAAUAAAAUUUAAGAAAUUUAUAGAGAACAAAAUUAUAAUAAUUAAUCCAAAAUAUUAUACAGCGCGUUGUGUUGACUCGUUAGAUUUCCUUUUCAUUUAAGCUUGAAUUCGCGUGUAGUGAAAGUGAAAGCGACGUCUGAAUUAUGUGUAAGGAUAUUUGUGUUCUUCUCUCGUAGCCACAUGUUUUUUUCCUAACCGGAGAGCCACAUGUUCUUAGAAAUCAAUUCGUAUAUUUGUGGUAUUUCUUUAUUUGUAUUUAGAAUAUUAUUCUAUGCACUUGGAAUGGAUAGGAUUGGAUAGUACUAUGUAUGCGCAAUUUGCAAUGCAUUCCUGAUGGGAUAGUUUUAAAAAACAAUAUGGAAAAAAGUUCUCAUGAUUUAUAUAUUUUAUUUUCCCUAAACUACUGAUUUAUAUAGAUAACUGUGCAUUCCAGUUCCUACUAUCUUUUUACUUAAUUAUAAAUUUUUAGGCAAAAUAAAAAUUAAUUUUUGGACAUUUUAAAGUAAUUUUUUUUAUGGGGCAAGAUCCCCCAUUCAAUAUAUCUUUCAUGCUUACAAAUGAAGAUUUUAUGCGAUAACAGAAAUUAAACUCACAUUAUUACAUAGUAUAAGUCAACUUUUUCAGUAAUUAUACCCACUUUUAUUUUUAUUUUUAUAGAUAGAUAGAUGAAAUAGCAAACACAUAAUAAACUCACAUACAUAAAUGGAAAAAUCGGGAUUCACACCCUAUAUUAGACCAACCUUAAUUUGAAAAUGGAUUUACCGCAGUUUUAUAUGGUGCAGUAAUGGUGCAGUAAUAGUUGUUACUUGUUGCCUAUUUUAUUUUGUUGGAGAUGUAUAGUUGUUACCUUUAAGGAUAAGUAUUAGGUAAAUGUAUAUCAACUAGAGACUGGUCACCCAAGUUUACAUUUUGGAUUUCUUUACGGGUUAAUGCUACGGUGGACUACCUUUACAAGUGGUCCACCGUGGACAAGUGAUCUAUCGAAUAAUUUUUUUACGAAAUUCACUGUUUGAUUGAAAAGUUUAUAUCGUAUAGACCAUCCAUAAAUUUUUUGAAAAUAAUUUGAUAUGUUAUUGGGACCCAUCAAGAUUUACGUUAUUUAAUAAACUGUUAAUCUUGAUGUGUCUCAAUAAUAUAUCAAAUGAUUUUCAAUUUUUCUAAAUUUUUCUAUGGAUGAUCUAUAUGUUAUAAACUUUCAAUUCAACGGUGGAUUUUGUAAAAUUCGUAUUCGUUAUAAUGUUAUUCAUGACUGGUCCACCAUGGACCACUUGAUGAAGUGGUCCAUAUUAGAAUUUACCUUUUUUACAAUGUGAGACAACAAUAGGGAUGACAACGGGCGCCCAUGGGUGCGAGUUUGACACUUACCAAACCCCCACCCGAAAUCAUCACCCAAACCCAAAGGCUGUUCGGGUGGCAAAACAACACUCACGCCUACACCCAUUGGGUUCAGGUUUUUUUCACCCAAACCCGCAUCACAUUUGAAAAUAAUUUGCAAAUUUAAGAAAUUAAAUUCCAACAUAGACUUUGAAUUAAAUUACAACUAAAAUUAAGAUCUUCCAAGAAAAUUCAAACAUAGACUUUCAAGAAAUUACAACAUAGACUUUCAAGAAAUUAAAUUACAACUAAAAUUAAGGUCUUCCAAGAAAAUUGAGGGAGACUAUGGGGGUAAUUAGGUAAUUAUAAAAUAUUUCGAGUGGAUGUAUGGGUUUCGGGUGUGGGUUUGACUGAUACCAAACUCACACCCAUAUUAUCGGGUGUCACCCGAACCCAAACCCAAACCCAGUCAAAUCGGAUUUCGCCCAUUGACUUGAGUUUGAGUUCGGGUGGAUCUCUCAUGUUUGAGUUUUUUUGUAUCCCUAGACAACAACAAUACUAGCCCUAUACCCCACUACUUAUAUCAUUUGGCCAUACUAAGCACGAAAAUGACAUACUCAAGCAAAAAAACAUUAUAGACCCAUCCUAUGAUGGGUGGCAUUUAGCAUGGGUAAGAGCAUCCCAUCCACAAUGGAGCUCCCCAUUUUAUGGUAUCUAAUUGGACCCCACAUGUACACAUCACACAUUUAUUAUUUUUUAAUGAUAGUACCUAAUAAGAACUCAAUCGCUCUAACCAAACACCUCUUAAAAAAUUCUAAAUGGAUCCUACCAAUAACACAUUUAACCAAUAACUAUAUAUCUUUAUAAAUGGGUCCCACCAAAAUAAUAUAGGUACUAAUGCUUAUUUGAGAACUAGUACCUAUUAUGUACUCAUUUGUAUUUUGCUCCAAUGAGAAUACCUAUUAGGUACCAAUUCUUAAGAAAUAGGUACUCACCAUUAGAGAUGGUCUAAGUGCUAAAGUUUCCCACCAUGGGCAAAUUAACAUUUGACCAUUAGAUCAGAUGAAGAACGCAUUUUUAGUAUAGUCUCUCAAUACUAGAUCUCACCACUGCCUUUUGCAACCCAUCUCCUUCUUGGCCCCAUCAUCUAACCGGACUUCUCCCUCCACCCCCUAUCAACAGCUCCUAAGGUUACCUCCAGUCCUCCACCAUCGCAGAUUGAAGAAUCAAAGAAUGAAAAAUCAGACAAAUCUACUUCAUAUUUUCAUCAAAUUUUAUAAUAAUAAUUUCAUUCUCAAAGAUUGAAGAUUUAUAUGGAUGUUAUUCCAGAUUCUAACAAGUUGGAAUUUUUCCGUUUAAUAAUUAUAUAAGCUUAAUCUAAGUUGUAACAAUGGUUUUGAAAACUUUUGGUUCAAAUAUAAUGAUAACAUUUUGUUUGAAAUAUGAGUUUUUCACAAAUUUGGUAAUUUUGAGAUUGAUUUAGGAUGAAAAUAUGUAUUACUUUUCACUAUCUUGUUCGGAUUUAUUUUAUGGGUUAUGUCAUGUUGAUUUGGAUCAAUUUUUAAUUUAAUUAAUUUUUCUGGGUAUCUUUGUUGUGUUUUGCUUAUUUUGAGAUUGAGUUAUUCUUAUUCUUAUUUUAAUUUAUAUUUUUUUUGGGUUUCUUUCUUGUGUUUCUUGGUUUUAAGUUAUUGAGUUUAAUGUAGGAACAAUCACAUUGAAAGCUAUUGUGCAAGUGUUUUAGUAAUUGUGGAUUGUUAAUGUAGAAGCAUCCACAUUGGAAGCCAUGGAUAUUGCUGGCCAGUGUUGGAAGAGAGAGGAGAGAGAAAGAUAAGGCAAUGUGAUAUGAUAUACAAUAUGGUGGAGGGAGAAGGUGAGAUGGUGGGGCCAAGAAGAAAAUGGGUUACAAAGGGUAGUGGUGAAAUCUUGUGUUGAGAGACUAUAAUAAAAUUGUAUUCUUCAUUUGAUCUAAUGGUUAAAACUUAACUUAACUUGCUCAUGGUGGGAAAUUUUAGCACUUGACCAUGCUAAAUGUCACCCCUAUGAUGAUCAUUGGUACCAUAAAUGUGUUGAUGUUUUAAAUGUGAGUUAACAAAUUCACAUUGAAUGAAAAUUAAAAUAUUGAGCGACCUAUAAGUGAGAUUACUAAUAUCGUGACACAGUUACAGUUCUGAACCGUUUGAUCUUAAUGGACAGUUGAUAUUGAUUUACUGUGUGAAUGAUCUGAGUCGUCCAAUCUCUAAUCAAUAGCCGAGAUUUCUUACUGCGUGAAACAACGUGAUAAUAGGACAACAUGCAAUCCUGGCCCAUUAAAAAUUACCUAUCGAAGAAGUUCCACAUUGAUUAGUAUGGUGAAGAAAGGGGAGAACAAAACUAUAUAUUGGACCUAAGUUUUUUGUUUUUAGAUACACAAAUUAAU